UCACUAUGUGUGAAUGCCUAGAGUCUUGUAUAAUUUAUCCUAUCUCAGGGUAUUUUACAUCUGACUUCUACAUAUGAGAGAAACAUGUACUGUUUGUCUCUGUGAGCUUGGCUUGCCUCACUUAACGCCUUUGCUAUAUUUGAUGCAAAUAUUUUCCCAGUUUGUAGAUUCUGCAGUUUAUUUCACUUUAAAAACCUUUCACAAAAUUUUUCUUAAGAGUUUCUGCAUUUGGUGUUAAAGCGUUCUGGUCCUGAGCACCUCAAUAUUUUCUCAGAGCACUUGUACGGUUCCCUUUAUUACAUUUAAUCCCGCAUCCCAACUGGCGUUUACUGUGUGGUCUGUUGACGUGGGGUAAGCCUUCCACAGAGCUUGUUCCACCCCUGGGAACAGAAGGAAUCCUGUCUGCAUGAAGUCACAGUGGAAUCCACUGGAGAACACACGUGGGUCUUCUGAUUAGACCCUGGUCUGUAGACUCCUGCAACACCCCAUCCCCAGCUGAACUAGUUUAGACCUGUCAAAGUAGCUCUAACUGUAAUCCUGACCCCCAUUUGGCAAUUUAGGACUAGGAGCAUCUACUACUUUAAUGACUCUUCACACUUCCCCCUUGUGAGAAUAUUAUUUCAAUUUUACUUACUAAUUGUUCCAUAACAUAGAACUUGCUAUAUUUUUAUUAAGCAUAGCUCAUUAGUGUUGAUAUAUUAUGCAACCAAUCACCAGAAAUUUUUCAUCUUGCCAAAAUUAUAUGUUUAAGUUCAGCAGUUGCUCCUCCCCCUGUAAGUUUUUAAAGUUUUUUCUCAUUUUUUUCAGUAGCUAAAUGUAUGGUGUUUACUGAGUACCUACUUUCCUCCUUAAUUUGUGCUGGUAAAAUUGAAUAGUAAUCUUUAAAUACUCUUUGCUCUUUUACUCUAGGCUUACCAAUACUAGCCUCUCAUUAUGUGUCUGGAUCAAUGUAGGGGAAUUUCAGCCUUUGGUUUUGCUGUUUUGAAUAAAACACAACAAUCUUAAGUCACUGUCACUGCGAUAAGAAUCCUGCCCUUUCCUUGUUGGAACUUGAGCCACAGAACUGGGUUCACCUUAAUGUUUGGUUCAUAACAUGACCGCUUCCUUAUUUUUUUAUUGUCAAAGUGCAGUAAAGAGGGGUUACAGUUUCAUACGUAAGACAGUGAGUACACGUCUUGUCCAGCUUGUUACCGCCCCCCCCAUUCUUCCCCUGCCUCCUUUACUUUUAACAGCACGACGUUUCUGAAUGCUCCGCCCCGUGUGAUCCGCGCCCCUCCUCCCGCUGUUACAAGGCCAGCAUCACCCCAAACUUGGGUUUCUCUUCCAUUUGCUUUAUGGCUUGAAAAUAUUGAAAUGUCUCAGUUAUCUAUUUUAGUUCUUAUCUCAAUAGAAAAAAAAACACACACACACCUUGUUUGCACUGAAUUCGUUGCUUCCUCAUGGAUGGUGACCGGUUGACUCUUCUGUGUGGACUCAGCCGAGGAUAUGCAUGCUUCCUCGUGGUGUAGACCGAGGCUCCACAGGAGGUGCUGCUGCCCGGCCCCGCCCCCUACAGGUGACCAGUGUUACUCGAGCGUGUGCUUCCUGCCAAGCUCUUUCUGUUCCCACAUCGGUCCUGAGAGGACGUCACCUAGUUUCCUUCUCUAUGGACGUGGUAAGGUAGGAUUGCACACCCUAUAUCAUUACUGACUUUGUACAUUUCAUAGUAGGAAAACACUAGUUAGGCUACCACUGCUUUCGUUCUUUGGAGCUGUUGUGCGGUGGUCUUGACUUGGCCACGGUCACGGGUUCGUUGGCUGUGCGGUGUGAUGAUCUUCCCGUGCAUGGUCCCUGGUGCCCAAGGCCUGAGCUUGGCAGCGCGAUGUGGAGUGGCCAAGCCCCGCCCUGUAGCUCUCCACAAUGACACACAGUUGCAAACUUGGCUAUGUGAGUAUCUGGAUUUUUCAUAACUUCUUGCAUACUUGACAUGAAAUUUUGCCAACUCUGAAGGAGAUUCAGAAUCGUGCCACUAAUAAAAUCGUGUAUGCUAUGGAUUAUUCAUACUUUUUGCAAAAAAAAGUUGGUAAAUUAUAUUAAAAUUUAUGUAUACCUAUGGUUGCAGUGACAUAAUUGUAGCCCUUUGCUUGUCAGGAUUGUUUGAUCUGAAAAGGUUAAGCCAAAAAUUAUUCUUUUAUUAAACCCAGCUUAGUUGCAGUUAUUAUUUGAAUUAUUUUUAAAUUUUGUUUGUCAUAUAUGUUCUAAUUCAAUUUAAAUAUCUUGAAUUUAAGAAUUAAAUACCUAAGGGCCUAAGUCCCUCCCCACUAUGUAACUGCUAGCGACUUCAUUAUAUUCCUUCAUCUCCCCUCCAACAAUGUACUCAAAUGUAUCCUGGACUUAGCAUCGGCUUUAUAAUAAUGUGUACUAUAAUUUUCCUGGAAUCAUAUAAUACUUAAACUCGUGUCCACAUAGUUAUUUUUGAUCCUUUUCCUGCUCUUGGCUUAAAGCCUGCU